AUAGUUAUGGUGAUGGAGAGUUUGAAAUUGAAAAUCUUCCCAUCCAUGAAGUUGAAUUAAAGCGAAAGGAAUUAUUGCCAGUUUUUGAUCAUUUUCACAGCAUCAAAUCAGUGUGGAAUGAUAGAGGCCUCGCCACAGCAAGAUAUAACCUUUCACCAUCAGCAGAACCACUUCAAGUUGAGGGCAAGAUCACACAGGAGACUGUUAUUUGUCACUCGAUGCCAGCAUCACUUAGCUCAACUGAAAGUUCAGAAUGUGGUUCAUCAAGAAGAAUUGAGCAUAUGCUAGAUUUGGAUAUAAUAAAUUGUGAGAAAACUUACAUCCCCACUUGCCAGAAUCUGAAUGACUACUACCAGGAAAGAAAAGGGGGUACCAUAAUUGAGUCUGGUGCACUGAUUAAGAAUUCCUUAACCAUUGUAUCUCUUCCAC
rnacentral:misc_RNA from 1 species